AUAAAAACCACAAGGAGCCAGAGUCAAGCAAAAACAGGAAUCCAGAUGGAGGAACCAGCAAGGAG